rnacentral:rRNA from 1 species
UACAGAGGGGCAAGCGUUAUUCGGAAUUAUUGGGCGUAAAGGCGCGUAGGCGGCCUUGCAAGUGACGGGUGAAAUCCCUCGGCUUAACCGAGGAACUGCCUGUCAAACUGCGUGCUUGAGACCAGGAGAGGUGAGUGGAAUUCCCAGUGUAGCGGUGAAAUGCGUAGAUAUUGGGAGGAACACCAGUGGCGAAGGCGGCUCACUGGACUGGUACUGACGCUGAUGCGCGAAAGCGUGGGGAGCGAACAGG